UACGUAGGGGGCAAGCGUUGUCCGGAUUUAUUGGGCGUAAAGAGCUCGUAGGCGGUCUGUCGCGUCUGCUGUGAAAACCUAGGGCUUAACUCUGGGCGUGCAGUGGGUACGGGCAGGCUAGAGUGCGGUAGGGGAGACUGGAAUUCCUGGUGUAGCGGUGAAAUGCGCAGAUAUCGGGAGGAACACCUGUGGCGAAGGCAGGUCUCUGGGCCACUACUGACGCUGAGAAGCGAAAGCGUGGGGAGCGAACAGG
rnacentral:rRNA from 1 species